rnacentral:rRNA from 1 species
GACGAACGCUGGCGGCGCGCCUAACACAUGCAAGUCGAACGAGCGAGAGAGAGCUUGCUUUCUUGAGCGAGUGGCGAACGGGUGAGUAACGCGUGAGGAACCUGCCUCAAAGAGGGGGACAACAGUUGGAAACGACUGCUAAUACCGCAUAAGCCCACGACCCGGCAUCGGGUUGAGGGAAAAGGAGCAAUCCGCUUUGAGAUGGCCUCGCGUCCGAUUAGCUAGUUGGUGAGGUAACGGCCCACCAAGGCGACGAUCGGUAGCCGGUCUGAGAGGUGGAACGGCCACAUUGGGACUGAGACACGGCCCAGACUGCUACGGGAGGCAGCAGUGGGGAAUAUUGCACAAUGGGGGAAACCCUGAUGCAGCGACGCCGCGUGGAGGAAGAAGGUAUUCGGAUUGUAAACUCCUGUUGUUGAGGAAGAUAAUGACGGUACUAAACAAGGAAGUGACGGCUAACUACGUG